AUUGAGCGUACCUUAAUCAACACAUAAUUACAAAAAGCGUGAAAACAAAAUGUCAUGAUAUACGUUACAACCAAUACACUAAAUAUUCCAUUGCUUUUUGUCCAACGAGAAAACAACUCCGGAAACAAAGUGCGUAUUACGGAUACAAUGUAUUGAAUUUUACCGUGCAGCUGACAUCCCUCGUGGAGCCGGUAAUCCUCAGAACAAAAGUAUAUUGCGUUAGUCUACAGAUAAUACCAUUAAUAUAAUUGGUUUGGAUAAAAGUAAUUUCUUGGACUUUGCAAUUAGAUAAAGCGAAAGUGUGGAAAUUGUAUUUAUGAUCAAAGAAAAGUUUUUGAAUAUGUAAUGAUCCACCAAAGCAUACUUAAGUGACAGAAUUUAAGUUUGAAGUCUUCAAGACAGCUAUGGAUAGAGUCAUGUGUUGCAUGGUGUGUUUGAUUGUCUUACUUGUAGCCGUCUCGUUAGGAGAUACAAGAAAUUACGUAUCCGUGCCGAAGUUGAACUUCAGAUCAUUACAGAAUUUAUUGAUGUCAUCCUUGUCCGACGACGACGCAAACGACAACGAGUAUAUGGAUGCAGACGACAAUUACCAAAGCAACAGUGUACGUCAAACGUCAGAGGAAUUAUAUAAAUAUGCAAAGCGAGGAAUAGGACAGUGCAUUUUUAAUUGUUUAAAACGUCCAGGACAAAUGAACUUCAUACAAUGUAAAUCAAUGUGCCACAAAAGAUGAUGGAAGGACCAAACCUUGAAAGUCAUAGACAAUUGAAAGCUGUAUUUUAAAAUCUUACAAUUUUAUCCAUGGAAUAAAAAGACAAAACCACGUCACAAUAUCAUUUAAGUAGAGCCACACAUGUAUAUCCAGCACGGUUUACUACAUUUUUCCUGGUGUUCUUAAUAAAUAUUUUUUUCGGGAUAAA